UUUUUUUGGAUAAGAUCAUGGUUAAUGUUUUGAACUAUAUCAUAGCAGAAAUAUAUUAGUUUUUAUUGUCUUUUUUUCUUUGCGCGCACUGCCAAGAAGAAAAAUCUAGCCUACACCUCUUCUUCAACUGCCCUUUUGCUG
rnacentral:sRNA from 1 species